rnacentral:rRNA from 1 species
CCCGCUGAACUUAAGCAUAUCAAUAAGCGGAGGAAAAGAAACUAACAAGGAUUCCCCUAGUAACGGCGAGUGAAGCGGGAUGAGCUCAAAUUUGAAAUCUGGCUGGUUUACUAGUCCGAGUUGUAAUUUAUAGAAGCGCUUUCGGUGGCAGCCUGGGUAUAAAUCCUUUGGAAUAGGGUAUCAUAGAGGGUGAGAAUCCCGUCUUUGAGCUAGUGCAUGCUACUAUGUGAUACGUUUUCAAAGAGUCGAGUUGUUUGGUGAAUGCAGCUCAAAAUGGUGUGGUAAAUUUCAUCUAAUAGCUAAAUAUUGGCGAGAGACCGAUAGCGAACAAGUACCGUGAGGGAAAGAUGAAAAGAACUUUGAAAAGAGAGUUAAACAGUGCGUGAAAUUGUUGAAAGGGAAACGUUUGACGACCAGUCAUGUGGGUGGAAAAUCAGUCUUUUGCAUUGGGGAGUUGUAAAGGUUCGGACCGCAAGGCCGGCUUUUGCUUCAUCUUUGGUGUAAGGGAUGCACUUUUUCAUCUACAGGUCAACAUCAGUUUCUUUUGCUGGACAAAACUCCGAGAGAAGGUAGCAGCUUAGGCUGUGUUAUAGCUCUGGAGCGAUACAGUGAAGGGGACUGAGGUUUUCGCAGCGUGUGCUCUCGGGCAAGGCUGGAUGGGUGCUAUGGGAUCGUUCGGGGUACAAUGCCUGGCAUUAUGCUUCGUGUCUGUUCUAUACUCGCUCAGUUCAGCUCUUACACGCUUAGGAUGUUGACUUAAUGGUUUUAAACGACCCGUCUUGAAACACGG